AGUGAAUGUGAUCUGUGCAGUGUCUUAUCUUUUUAUAUACAGUCUAAGGUGACUUCAGCUCAUUAAACCUCUCAUCCGUUCACAUUUAUUUAUCUAUUCAAGGCUUAAACUGUCUCAGUGUGAUAAAUCCUCAUCGUGGAGAAGAUCACGGAUGGAGCUGGUCGCGGUGAUGAAGCGGGACCUGCAGUACCUCCACCUGAAGUUCACGGGGAUGCUGAUCAUCUUCUCCUGCGUUACCAACAGGCACCAGUGUUGGACUGUUAAAUAAAAAGUUAAACAAAUAGUGUAAAAAAAUACAUUUGAGACCCUUAACCCCAUUAUCAAGGGCAAUUAAGUUGCUGUAACUAACUGCAGUGUACAUAUAUGUUGCAGGGACAUGCUCAUUAGCUUGGCUAUUACAAAUUACAUGUGGCUCAUGUCCAAUUUGUCAGAAAACAGUCACAUUUUGUGAACCGAUGAUGCGUCUGACGCAUGGCUGUCCGCCAGAUCUCAUAAGUCUUCUCUCAGUCUUUACGGUGGAUGAAUUUUAAGACCAAUCAGAGGCAGUUGCCAAGCAAGAAUGAACCGGCCAAUCAGCAUUUUUCUGCCAAUGUUAGCUGACGUAUGUCGUCAUUGGUUGCGACGUGCCUCGUAAUUGGCUAUGACCUGCUGGGAGGAGCCAGAGAAACGGAGAAACGAAGUAGGAAAACAGAUUUAAACCAACGCUGAAACAGUUGCCUCUGUUUGCAAGUACUGUGAGAAAACGCCGUUGCCUGAUACGUCUGAAUGUUAAAACAAACUGGAGCUGCUUUUUGUCGAACACGAGUGAGACUGGACGCUGAACACACCUGCAGUGCAAAGGUUUGCUGGUUCAGAUGCUGCAGCCUGGACAGAGACACCAGCUCUCACCUGACAAACCAAACAGGUGUCGCCACUUUGUCCACAAUCGCAUUCUCUUUGUACAAUGAGGAAGUUCUUUGAGACCAGGACAGAGGCCUCCAGGAUUCAAACUUAAACCAUUAAAGCACAGAGAGAAGAGAGAGACGUGAAGACAUUUCCAGAAGGUCUUCAGCUGCUGUCGUCGUCUUCUCCUGCUGUGUUAUCAGAAACACGUUAAUCACUUUUUAUGCCUUAUUGUACUAUAACAUGUGGCUUAUGACAAAAUAUCUUAAAGCAGCAAUCUUACAAUCUUUACAUCUCAUUUUUACUGACAGUGUUUUUUAUGGUAAAUCUGUUGUUUAUACAUUGUAUAAAUAUUUGUACUUGUCUUGUUCUUUACAGUUUUGUAGUAAUGUCUGGCAAAAGAAUUUCCUUCGGGAUUAAUACAGUUCUGUCUUAUCUUGUGUUCAUUAUUUCAUUUUGGUAUUUUGCCAUUUCAAACAGUGCAAUCAGUAUAUAAUUUUUACAUAUUGUUAUACAUUAUAUCUUGUCUUGUUUACCUUAUUCAUUUAUCUAUUUUUGCUGCUGCAACACUGACUUAUUUUACUCUUACAAAUAAAUACUU